rnacentral:tRNA from 1 species
GGGGCUGUGGCUCAAUGGAAGAGCUUCUGUUUGGCAUGUAGAAGGUCCCAUGUGCAAUUACUGCCAUCUCCA